AUUGAACGCUGGCGGAAUGCUUUACACAUGCAAGUCGAACGGCAGCACGGACUUCGGUCUGGUGGCGAGUGGCGAACGGGUGAGUAAUAUAUCGGAACGUAUCCAAUAAUGGGGGAUAACUAGUCGAAAGAUUGGCUAAUACCGCAUACGCCCUACGGGGGAAAGCAGGGGAUCUUCGGACCUUGCGUUAAUGGAGCGGCCGAUAUCUGAUUAGCUAGUUGGUGGGGUAAAGGCCCACCAAGGCGACGAUCAGUAGCUGGUCUGAGAGGACGACCCGCCACACUGGAACUGAGACACGGUCCAGACUCCUACGGGAGGCAGCAGUGGGGAAUUUUGGACAAUGGGCGCAAGCCUGAUCCAGCCAUUCCGCGUGAGUGAAGAAGGCCUUCGGGUCGUAAAGCUCUUUCGCAAGGGAAGAAAACUUAGCCACUAACAUUGGCUGAGGUUGACGGUACCUUGAUAAGAAGCACCGGCUAACUACGUGCCAGCCGCCGCAGUAACAC
rnacentral:rRNA from 1 species